UAUCUGAGACACGAUAUCGGGCCCUACGGGGCGCAGCAGGCGCGAAAUCUUCACAAUGUGCGAAAGCACGAUGAGGGGAUCCCAAGUGCUGGCACGUAAGUGUCAGCUGUUUCUUUGUCUAAAAAACAAAGAGAGUAAGAGCUGGGUAAGACGGGUGCCAGCCGCCGCGGUAAUACCCGCAGCCCGAGUGGUGGUCGAUAUUAUUGAGCUUAAAGCGUCCGUAGCCUGUCUGGUAAAUUCUUGGGUAAAUCGUGCAGCUUAACUGUUCGAAUUCCGGGGAGACUGCCAGACUUGGGACCGGGAGAGGUUGGAGGUACUCCUGGGGUAGGGGUGAAAUCCCGUAAUCCUGGGAGGACCACCAGUGGCGAAGGCGUCCAACUGGAACGGAUCCGACGGUCAGGGACGAAGCCCUGGGUCGCGAACUGGAUUAGAUACCCAGGUAGUCCAGGGUGUAAACGCUGCAGACUUGGUGUCGGAGGUCCUACGAGGGCGUCCGGUGCCGGAGAGAUAUUGUUAAGUCUGCCGCUUGGGGAGUACGUCCCGCAAGGAUGAAACUUAAAGGAAUUGGCGGGAGAGCACCGCAACGGGAGGAGCGUGCGGUUCAAUUGGAUUCAACGCCGGAAAACUCACCGGGGGCGACGGUUACAUGAAGGUCAAGUUGAUGACUUUACCUGAUUUUCCGAGAGGUGGUGCAUGGCCGUCGUCAGUUCGUACCGUAAGGCGUUCUGUCAAGUCAGAUAACGAACGAGACCCUCAUCUUAAUUGCCACCCUAUUCUCCGGAGUAGGAGCACAUUAAGGGGACCGCUGCCGCUAAGGCAGAGGAAGGGGAGGUCAACGGUAGGUCAGUAUGCCCCGAAUCCCCCGGGCUACACGCGCGCUACAAAGGCCAGGACAAUGGGCUUCAACACCGAAAGGUGGAGGCAAUCCCGAAACCUGUCCGUAGUUUGGAUUGAGGGCUGUAACUCGCCCUCAUGAAAAUGGAUUCCGUAGUAAUCGCGGGUCAACAUCCCGCGGUGAAUAUGCCCCUGCUCUUUGCACACACCGCCCGUCAAACCACCCGAGUUGGGCCUGAAUGAGGGUUUGCUCUUGUGGCGAGCUCGAAUUUGGGUUCAGCAAGGAGGGUU
rnacentral:rRNA from 1 species